UUAAAAACAACAAAACAUUCAAAACCAAAACCAUCAUUGUGGCUAAAAACGAACGACUAGCUAUUUGAAGACCUUGCCAAUUAGAUGACUUCAUACAUUAUUAAUAACGGCUAUUUGAAAAGUCAACGCGAAACAACAUUUUGUAGUUAAUAACCAAUUAUUUAUAGUAGUAAACCAAGCAAGUUUCUUUUCGCGUUGCGUUGUACGCACCUGACCGCGUGCGCGGACAGAUCUAAUCACCUUAUCAGUAGUUUGCAUAGCUAGUAUGGUUUGGUCCGCCAUUACCGACGUACCUAUUUAUUAUUUAUAUAAGUCGUGCAUUUAAUUCGGAUAUAUAAUGAUUUAUAUAAGAUUUCUUUGAUUGAUAGUGAUACGCGAUUUAAUUUUGUAUUUUUCCGUUACUGCGGUUGCCGUUUUUACUAAGUGUUGGUUUUCACCUCAAAAUAUAACUGUAAUUCAAUAAUUGUCUUCAGCAACAAGCAAGUUUUUUAUUUGUCCUUUAAUGGCCGGUGUCAUAUUCUGAUUGGUUUGACACACUGGGCUAGUUUAUCUAGAUUAGAUGGAAAAUGAGAAGCUUUGAUGCAGCAUGUCUUUACAAGAAGCAUCAAUAGGUACGAAGAAAGCGAGUUCUAUCUAGUAGGGAUUUAGGAGGAUCCUCGAAUUUGCUUCAAAAUAUUUAACUUCGUUGCGUGACCUGAGGCAGGAAUGGCAUUUGCAUUAAAAUUGUAUUUUACUAGAAUGAAUCUGAAGAGGAACUGAAGAAGUACUUAUUAUAUGUUCAACAUUA